GGCUUAACACAUGCAAGUCGAACGCCCCGCAAGGGGAGUGGCAGACGGGUGAGUAACGCGUGGGAAUCUACCCAUCCCUACGGAAUAACGCAUGGAAACGUGUGCUAAUACCGUAUACGCCCUACGGGGGAAAGAUUUAUCGGGGAUGGAUGAGCCCGCGUUGGAUUAGCUAGUUGGUGGGGUAAAGGCCUACCAAGGCGACGAUCCAUAGCUGGUCUGAGAGGAUGAUCAGCCACAUUGGGACUGAGACACGGCCCAAACUCCUACGGGAGGCAGCAGUGGGGAAUAUUGCACAAUGGGGGAAACCCUGAUGCAGCCAUGCCGCGUGUGUGAAGAAGGCCUUCGGGUUGUAAAGCAC
rnacentral:rRNA from 1 species